UAAAGACACAUGCAACUUCGAAAGGAGUCGAGCACAUUAGCUCAGAAGUGUUUGCUCCGUUUGAAAAGCUGCCAUGCUCGGAUUGAUUUUUCACAUGCCAAAGAAAGAGCGGGAGAUGAUAGGGAUUCGGCGGAUGAUUUCAAGUGGCCUGCCAAAGACAGACUGCUGGCCUACAUACAUAUUUAAAAAAGGAUCUCGCAGGUGAAUCAAAUUGUUCCAGCCGCGUGGAAGAGUGCUUUUGUUCUGAUGGAAUGAUAAAGGGAGAUAAAGUGAAAAAUUUUAAGCAUGACUCCCUUAAACUUAAAUGGAGGCUGAAUCGAAUUUGUAAGAACGGAGAGAGGAAGCAGAAGUGGACUGUAGAUGAGUCUUCUUCAUCCUCUCCUCCUCAUCCUCUUCCUCUUUUGCUGGCGUGACUCAUUUGCAAAUCGUGUUCAGUGCUAGUAUGGUAUGUAAAGCCAUAGUUAACAGGUUAAAGGGGUAUUUAUAUAGAUGCGAAAUCCUUAUUUGUACCGUGGUGGUGUUGAAAUGCUGUAUACCUUUCUAUCUUUUGAAUGAGAAAUGUCUAAUAUACGAUAUUUUGGUUAAUGAUGUGAUACUUUUGCAUCUUUUUAAAGCUGAAGCAAGAGAUCGUACACAUUCCUAUUUUCGUGGAAGGGGAAGAAAAGUAGAACAUACAGCAAUGAACAACUCCAGGGCAAAUAAAUAAUGACUCAGUGUUCAUUUCUGGAUGAGUUAAUUAAUAAAUUGUCUAUAUUAACACUAU
rnacentral:lncRNA from 1 species